GGGAAUCUGCCUGGUAGUGGGGGACAACGUUCGGAAACGAACGCUAAUACCGCAUACGCCCUACGGGGGAAAGGGGGGGAUCUUCGGACCUCUCGCUAUCAGAUGAGCCCGCGUCGGAUUAGCUAGUUGGUGGGGUAAAGGCCUACCAAGGCGACGAUCCGUAACUGGUCUGAGAGGAUGAUCAGUCACACUGGAACUGAGACACGGUCCAGACUCCUACGGGAGGCAGCAGUGGGGAAUAUUGGACAAUGGGGGAAACCCUGAUCCAGCCAUGCCGCGUGUGUGAAGAAGGCCUUAGGGUUGUAAAGCACUUUCAGUGGGGAGAAAGGUUGUUUACUUAAUACGUAAGCAAAUUGAUGUUACCCACAGAAGAAGCACCGGCUAACUCCGUGCCAGCAGCCGCGGUAAUACGGAGGGUGCAAGCGUUAAUCGGAAUUACUGGGCGUAAAGCGCACGUAGGCGGUUUGAUAAGCCAGCCGUGAAAGCCCCGGGCUCAACCUGGGAAUUGCGGUUGGAACUGUCAAGCUGGAGUACAGUAGAGGGGUGUGGAAUUUCAGGU
rnacentral:rRNA from 1 species